CCGCAUAUCUUGCUUCACAGUUCCAGCAUGUAUUUAAUUUCCCAGAUAUUUGAACUACUAAAAGAUAGCCCUGUGCAUAUGCAGGUAGCACACCGUUAGUCCACAGACGUAUGCAUAUAAUAAUAAGACCAUUGAGCUGAAACCGUGGCACAGAUAAAUGUGCUCCUUGCUGUCGUGGCGUAUGUGUAUCGCAUUCACGCCGAGGGCCCCCGCCCAGGGGGGCUUGCUUGCCUGGCUGCAUGACUCACACAGGUCCUCUUUGUGUGGGACUGUACUCCAGCCAGGGCAGCCACACCACAGAACCAGCAGCCCCACUGCAGCACGGCGUGUACUUGGGAGACAAGCACUCCGUUACAUGGAGGAAGGGAACCUCCUCAUCGCAUCGAAGGGAUACCGGGGUAACGGAGUAACCCUUUAUCGCUGUGCUGCCCCCUAGGCGAGGAGGAACAGAUGCACAUACAGCCGAUGUUUGCUCCAGACCUCGCUGUUCCAGAUUUAGUAUUUCUAAAUUGAAAAAAGUUUUUUAAACUGAUAUUGACAUUGAUGUAUAAAUAUAUAAUGUCUGUAUUGCAUUAAAAAAUUGAAGCGGCUCUCGCUAAGAAAUUGUAGAGAAGAUGAUCGGAUGAACGGGUAGCCCACGUCCAUUUAUCACUUUGUUUCUAAAGCUUAUCACAGUGACCUUCAAUAGGCAAUAAAGUCGGAUUGUAAUUUUG